UUUUAAACACCUUUUGGCAGUAGUCUCUGGUGGUACUUGCACAAUCAUCCCAUCGAAACGCAUAUGUGAUUUUGGCCUCAUGUCAAUAACAGACAAGAGACCCAUUUACAAGCAUACAAAGCCAUAAUAGAACAAAGUCAGCGAAACAAAGCCAUAAUACAACACUGGCUUAACGAUAUUAUUACAGAUCCCUAAGCUCAGUCACCAGAGCGACCUUAUUUUGGGGAGCUCUUCUAGGGGAAAUGGCUAGUGUAACAGGUCCCCCAGGGUUCUAGUCUCCCAUCUUCCAUCCUACGACGAAAUCUGCUCUAGUAAUAUCAGUUCUGGAGAUGCUCCAGAAUGAGACGAUUUCCAGUGCAAGGCAAGUGUGCGUCCUGAAAUAAAUAGAAACAUGCAAGAGUAUUAUUCUCUAGUAUGAUUCUAAACAUUCGAUACUUUACAUGGUAAAUACCAAAAGAGGAAACCUCAAGUAGCACUCUUUAGCCAGAACAUUAAGCAGCUCUUACACACAGCAUAUAUUUUUUUUGAAACGGAGGCAAAAGAUUUGCCUCAUCGAUUAAUUAAGAAGAGAGUUGCCCAGUUAAUUAAUGGAAAACCGGGCGAAAAUCAAUACAAACAAACCACAUGCGGACUACUCCCAAAGUCUAAAACCCCGUGAUCACACCGCCGACCCUACAGACAUUGCCAACAUGCAACAGACCCAAGCCCACACGCAGCUACAUCGCAAAGGAAUCCCCAAAAAGAAAACCAUGGAAGUAGACAAAAGGCCCCCCAAAAACCACGAGAUAAGCUAAACCGUGAGGACGGCCCAAAAGACCAAGGAGCAACCAUUAAGCAGCUGUAGACGCCUUCCCUAAGGCAUCACUCUUCUUGUUUUUGCUUUUGAGAGACUUCUCCACCUUCUUGAUCUUGUCUUCAUUAAACUUUCCAGUCAGGAUGCACGCAACCGCCUUACCAGACCCAGGGCUAGCCGCCUCCAAGCUAGAGAGCAAGUUGCAAAGCUUUUUUGCAAAGAGAGCAUCGGAACAAGGUGCCAACGCAUCAGUCCCAACAACGUCUCCACCUGGGGGCACCACUUGCCCAAUGGUCACAGGCGAGUGAGUGACCGCGGCAUCCAAACCUGCACACACCACAAAGUCGGUCUGGCUAGACUCCAAGGGCGGUGGUGAGGGUGUCGUGGGCACCGCCAAAGCCCCUAGCAAGACCAUCUCCUUCGGAAUCGCCACCGAAAGAGGUGGAGUGGACUCCUCACAUAGCACUGUCAACUCAGGCAUAAUUUGUAGAACUGGAGCCACAUCCUCAACGAUCACUUCACCUCCAACGUCAAUCGACACCAUAGAGCAGGGCCUAGCACGAGGAGAGAAACCUCCAUAGAGGUCGACUUCCUCUCCAUCUGCAGAACCAACUUGAAGCUCGGGGAGCAGAGACCCAAUCGGCACAACCUGAAGUUUACCAAGAGCAUCCUCCGCCCUUGCCAAGACACUCUCAACACGCACAAGACAUUCGCGAAGCUCAAUGCAAAGUAGCUCAGCCUGCUGCUCAAGGAUGAGCUGUAAUGACACAUCAGCUUGGAUGACGGAUGCGGGCGGUGGAGCAACACAUGGUUGCGGCGUAGUUUGGUCAACGGGUUGCUUCGCACGGCAAAAGCGAGCAAUGUGGCCGAAACGGAGGCAAUUUCUGCAACGGAUUGGAUCCCUGCAGGAGUGUGCUCGAUGACCCCGACACAGACACCGAAAACAUCUAUCUCUCAACCAUGCCGAAGGAGGCAGCCGUGCAUUGAAGGAAGGGCGAUGAAAAGCCGGAGGAGGCGUCGAACGACGCCCCUUGGAGACGAGCUGCCAGCCCCCCAACUCAUCCCCGCGCGGAGCAGCCGCACAACAGUUGAGAACGGCAGGUGCCUCAUUCUGACGAAAGCAUCCACACCAAUCCCUCCAACCAGGGCGCACGGGCGGGACGACACGGUCACCUCCAGCAACGACCUGCGGCGUAGUAGCAGUGGGCGCCGCAUCCGAGGAUGUCGUCGCCUUCCGCCCCCCAAUGGUCGGGUCCGACCUGCGGGAAGCAAGGGCAGUCGCGGCCAGCGCAGCAGCGGUGGGCGGCGGAGCCGGAGAGUCCACAGUCCCAAGCUCGGGGGAGAGCGGGCGUGGCGGCGACGGAGACGGGAUCUGAGGCAAAAUAAAAACUUCAUCAUAAAAGAAACAUCUAUUUGUUUUGCGGCAAUUACUUGGUCUUGUGGAGUACUAAGAUUGUGCACUUAAUCAACAAUCAUGAACAGGUGCUUCAGAAGGCGGUGUCGCUCAUCAUGCAAUGCAAGGCUCUUCUCUCCGCUAAGUGGAGGAGGGCGGCAAUGGUUAUGAUAGCUAGUAUUCAAAUUCUGGCAUGUUCUGUGACGACUGGUGAAGUCGGGGAUCGACAAGGCGUAAGGAUAGCUUCCCUGUGGUUCCAUCUCAGUGCACGAUCUAUGUAAUAUAUCUUUUUUUUACCUGUGAAGCCAUAGGGGAAGCCCCCUAUGGUAUAUUUUAUAUUAUCAGCAGCUAGGAUAUACAAGGGGGGGUUGAGGGUAGGUAUCCUAAAUGUUUACAUGUUAGAGAAGCCAAAAAGAAAGGAAAACAAACAAAAGGCUAAACUUACAAAGCCCUCUCCAAAUUGAAAAGUUCUCAACCAAGCCAAAAAAGGGUCUCUGUUCUUAUCUUUCACCCUGAAGGAAAUGAGGUGGAGGUUCUUCUUGAAAAGAACUUUCCAGUGAGCUAAAGAAGGCGGCUGCCCUUCAAAAAUCCAUUCCUCUGUCCCAGAUGUUCCAAAGAGCAGCACUAAUGACUUCAACAAACCAAGGCUUCUGAAACUGAGACCUAGCAAGCCUGAUCGUCGCCAAAAAAUUCAAAUGAGCAGCUAAAGAGAUAUUGAGGUAGCUCCAACAAGCCCUGGAAAAAGCACAAUUGAAAAACAAAUGUGCCCUGCCUUCCCCAGUGGCCGAAGAGCACAAAACACCGUUAACUCUGGACUCAAGCCUUUCCAUCAUGUCCCUGGUGUUUAGUCGAUCAACAAGGUGUUUAGUUGAUCAACAAGUAUGUGCAGAAACAGCACGGGUUAUUAUUAUUUAGAUUUAUGGGAGGGCAUCAGUAAUGUACUGAUAUUUGUCAGUUGACCCCAUAGAGCCAGCAAACUAUCUAAUUUUCAGCAAACCGGCGUGGAAGGAAUAACAAUAGAAAGAUAAGGGCAUGGGCAGAUAUUUAAAUGAGCAACAGACUAAGUAAUAUGUACUACCUGUUAUUCCCAGGUUCUUUUUCUUUGACGUCAAACUUCCCACUUCGUUCUCUUCACACACACAUGAAACUUGAAUUUCACAGUCAUGUAACGUAAUUUUUCUCAACAUUUCCUUCCAAGACAAAGGUAUAACAUAGUACUCAUGAAACAUAAGUCCCUUUGACCUGCAGGAAGAAAGCAAACAUGUGGUUAAGGCUAUUAGAACAAUACAAGUGGCACAUGCCGCUGUCAGCGUGGUGGAAAGAAACCACAUAUGGAAGGAACCUACCACUCAAGAUGGUGGCAAUAUGUUGUCAGAUGAUCAGCCAGGGUGAAGGGCCGCACAGAGGGCCGAACCCUCUCCUUCAGGUCAUGUAUGAGGGCAUGCGUUGAUGUCCGCUCGAAUGUCCCGCUGCUUAGAGAAUACACUACACCAGGGUCGAAGUUGGGCAGCGAGAAGUAGAUGGAAUUGCUGCUGAUAGAAGGGAGUUUUGUGGCGGAGACACAUAGGCAUCGGUCUUUGCUAAGGAAGAGCGCCCGGUCACCUAGGCUACUCAACAGAGCCAGUCCUCUUUGGUUUAUAUUCACCAGGAAGAGGGCAAAAGCGAAUGGCUGCCACCCCUUCUUGCUCUGGCUCCAUCGUGUGGUCAAAGACAUCGUGCGCGCUCGAUGCCUCCAGAACGGCGGGUUGUCUAGCGUCAUUUAUAUGUUCAAUUCACCAGGAAGAGGGCAAAAGCGAAUGGCUGCCACCCCUUCUUGCUCUGGCUAACACGACGAUGCUGGACAGCAAGGAGCAUGUAUUCUCUGAAUUCCACAAGGUAGUAGCAACAAAAUGUAGGGCAACCAAACAAGCUGGGAAUACGAGCAACCACUGGGUGCUGCGGGAACAGAGGGUACACCUGCACAAUCUCCCAUGUCCCCUUUCUGAUGCCAAACAGUCUGCCUCGGAAUGGUAAGGCAGUCCAAAGCUCAAGACCUUGGUGUAUGACAGACCAAUGUGGCUUCCCAGGUUCAGCGUAGACCACCACUGGCACAACCGAGAACCAGGCAACGACGGCAAUCGAGGCAUGGGACCGGCAGACUGCGGCUUUCAUCCAAACCAAAUGGUGGAAGAUGGGCGCAAGGGGAGGGAGGUCAAUGAAGACACGGGUGAAUGGAUGCAGGACACGGACAGCGGUGGUGCCCUUGUUGAGCAGGAUGAGGAGGCCAUCAGUGAAGCCGACGACCCGGUGGUUCUGGAGCUCGGACAGACGGGCAUGGAGGCGCCUGCUGGUAGACGUGUGGAAGAGGGUGAUCUCGCAGGCAUCAGCUGGGCGUACGCCGUCGCCGUCACAGAGGGCGACCCAGCCGCGAGGACGGAAGCGGGUUUCCUGCAGCGUGAGAUCGCAGGGGCUGGUGGUGAAGGCACGCCAGUGCGAGCACACAGCGCGGAAGCACAUGUAAUCCGUCACGUCCUCCGCCAGCAGUUGCUCGGCGAUGAUGCGGAUGACGUCCGGAGGGAGGGAGGACCAGUCGGUAGCCUCGGAAGGCUCCCCGGCGGCCUCAGGGCGCUUGCGGUCGGUGAGAGCGGCAGAGGAGCAAGCUUCAGUCCUGCGCUCGCCAUCGCUCCUGGUCUCCGCCGAUGCAAAGACAAAAAGGUCGGGCCUUUCCCUGCGAAGCAAUCUAAAUAUACUACUAGAAUCCUUGUUGGAACUAGACUCGGAUCCGUAAGAAACAGAAUCAAUUGCGCCCCUCCGUCCUCUCUUAUGUAAGCACUCUACAUCUAAGGGGCGGAUCUAUAUGGCAUGAUGACGGGUCUGCACCGGCGCACUCGAAAUUUGUGGAGGUCCUGGAUGGCGAAAAAUCUCAUACCUCAUAAACAAAUCAAAGUCCAAGAGCGGACAGGACAGCAAGGAAAUGGGAACGGCGGCGAUGUUCGGCGACGCCGCACGAGGCGGGAUUGUGCCGGGGGGAGAGGGCGGGGGGCGUUGAUCCAAAGCUAAGAGCAUCUCCAGCCGCCGCCACAGGCUUUCCCACGCGUUUUUGCCUCUCCGGCGUCAAAAGAUCGGCCCAGUCGUGUCUCCAGUAGCCCGUUUUUCGCCGGUUU
rnacentral:lncRNA from 1 species